CCCUUAGAUGUUCUGGGCCGCACACGCGCUACACUGAAGGAGGCAGCGUGUACUCCUGGAUCGAAAGAUUUGGGUAACCCGCGAAUCUCCUUCGUGCUAGGGAUUGAGGUUUGCAAUUAUCCUUCAUGAACGAGGAAUUCCCAGUAAGUGCAAGUCAUAAGCUUGCGCUGACUACGUCCCUGCCCUUUGUACACACCGCACGUCGCUACUACCGAUUGAAUGAUUUAGUGAGGACUUCGGACUGGGACCGAUGCGGCUUUCGGGCUGCGUCGGUAUUCUGGAAAGAUGUCCAAACUGUAUCAUUUAGAGGAAGUAAAAGUCGUANCA
rnacentral:rRNA from 1 species